rnacentral:tRNA from 1 species
GGCGCCGUCGCCAAGUGGUAAGGCAGAGGUCUGCAAAACCUCCAUCCCCGGUUCGAAUCCGGGCGGCGCCUCCA